CUGCACGUGCGCUACAAUGACUGAGUCAGCGAGCUUUAUCCUUCUCCGUCGGGAGUGGGUAAUCUUAUGAAACUCAGUCGUGAUAGGGAUUGAUCCUUGCAAUUAUGGAUCAUGAACGAGGAAUUCCUAGUAAGGACAAGUCAUCACCUUGUGCUGAUUACGU
rnacentral:rRNA from 1 species